rnacentral:siRNA from 1 species
AGGACACCUACUUAAAUGGCGACU